rnacentral:rRNA from 1 species
UCGUAGACCCGAAACCAGGUGAUCUACCCUUGGUCAGGUUGAAGUUCAGGUAACACUGAAUGGAGGACCGAACCGACUUACGUUGAAAAGUGAGCGGAUGAACUGAGGGUAGCGGAGAAAUUCCAAUCGAACCUGGAGAUAGCUGGUUCUCUCCGAAAUAGCUUUAGGGCUAGCCUCAAGUGAUGAUUAUUGGAGGUAGAGCACUGUUUGGACGAGGGGCCCCUCUCGGGUUACCGAAUUCAGACAAACUCCGAAUGCCAAUUAAUUUAACUUGGGAGUCAGAACAUGGGUGAUAAGGUCCGUGUUCGAAAGGGAAACAGCCCAGACCACCAGCUAAGGUCCCAAAAUAUAUGUUAAGUGGAAAAGGAUGUGGCGUUGCCCAGACAACUAGGAUGUUGGCUUAGAAGCAGCCAUCAUUUAAAGAGUGCGUAAUAGCUCACUAGUCGAGUGACACUGCGCCGAAAAUGUACCGGGGCUAAACAUAUUACCGAAGCUGUGGAUUGUCCUUUGGACAAUGGUAGGAGAGCGUUCUAAGGGCGUUGAAGCAUGAUCGUAAGGACAUGUGGAGCGCUUAGAAGUGAGAAUGCCGGUGUGAGUAGCGAAAGACGGGUGAGAAUCCCGUCCACCGAUUGACUAAGGUUUCCAGAGGAAGGCUCGUCCGCUCUGGGUUAGUCGGGUCCUAAGCUGAGGCCGACAGGCGUAGGCGAUGGAUAACAGGUUGAUAUUCCUGUACCACCUAUAAUCGUUUUAAUCGAUGGGGGGACGCAGUAGGAUAGGCGAAGCGUGCGAUUGGAUUGCACGUCUAAGCAGUAAGGCUGAGUAUUAGGCAAAUCCGGUACUCGUUAAGGCUGAGCUGUGAUGGGGAGAAGACAUUGUGUCUUCGAGUCGUUGAUUUCACACUGCCGAGAAAAGCCUCUAGAUAGAAAAUAGGUGCCCGUACCGCAAACCGACACAGGUAGUCAAGAUGAGAAUUCUAAGGUGAGCGAGCGAACUCUCGUUAAGGAACUCGGCAAAAUGACCCCGUAACUUCGGGAGAAGGGGUGCUCUUUAGGGUUAACGCCCAGAAGAGCCGCAGUGAAUAGGCCCAAGCGACUGUUUAUCAAAAACACAGGUCUCUGCUAAACCGUAAGGUGAUGUAUAGGGGCUGACGCCUGCCCGGUGCUGGAAGGUUAAGAGG